rnacentral:rRNA from 1 species
CCUACGGGUGGCUGCAGUGGGGAAUAUUGGGCAAUGGGCGCAAGCCUGACCCAGCAACGCCGCGUGAAGGAAGAAGGCUUUCGGGUUGUAAACUUCUUUUCUCAGGGACGAAGCAAGUGACGGUACAGGAGGAAUAAGCCACGGCUAACUACGUGCCAGCAGCCGCGGUAAUACGUAGGUGGCAAGCGUUAUCCGGAUUUACUGGGUGUAAAGGGCGUGUAGGCGGGGACGCAAGUCAGAGGUGAAAACCACGGGCUCAACCUGUGGCCUGCAUGUGCAACUGUGUUUCUUGCGUACUGUAGAGGCAGCCGGCAUUCCUGGUGUAGCGGUGCAAUGCGUCGCUAUUAGGAGG